UCGCCUGUUUAUCAAAAACAUGGUUUCUUUAUAUAUUUGGGAAAUCUGACCUGCCCACUGAAAAUUUUUAAAGGGCCGCGGUAUUUUGACCGUGCGAAGGUAGCAUAAUCAUUAGUCUUUUAAUUGAAGGCUUGUAUGAAUGGUUGGAUGAGGUAAAUUCUGUUUUAUAUUUAUUUAAUUGAAUUUAGAUUUUAAGUAAAAAUACUUAAGUAUUAUUAAGGGACGAGAAGACCCUAUAGAGUUUAAUAAGUGUAUAAAUUAUUUGAGUUAAAAAUUAAUUUAAAUUAUUGUAAAAUUUAUUUAAUUGGGGUGAUUAAAAGAUAAGUAAAACUCUUUUUGGUUUUUAAUAUUAUAAUUAGUAAUGUGAUCCAUAAAUAAUGAAUAAAAGAUUAAAUUACCUUAGGGAUAACAGCAUAAUUUUUUUUAAGAGUUCUUAUCAAAAAGAAAGAUUGUGACCUCGAUGUUGGAUUAAGAUUAGUUUUGGGUGUAGAUGUUCAUGAACUAGGUCUGUUCGACCUUUAAAAUCUUACAUGAUCUGAGUUCAAACCGGAGA
rnacentral:rRNA from 1 species